rnacentral:rRNA from 1 species
UACGGGGGGGGCAAGCGUUGUUCGGAAUUACUGGGCGUAAAGGGCUCGUAGGUGGCCAACUAAGUCAGACGUGAAAUCCCUCGGCUUAACCGGGGAACUGCGUCUGAUACUGGAUGGCUUGAGGUUGGGAGAGCGAUGCGGAAUUCCAGGUGUAGCGGUGAAAUGCGUAGAUAUCUGGAGGAACACCGGUGGCGAAGGCGGCAUCCUGGACCAAUUCUGACACUGAGGAGCGAAAGCCAGGGGAGCAAACGGG